GUCACCCAGAGGCCUCUAGAUGUUUGAUUCCAAAAUAGUUCACCCGUGUCACUGUUUUACAGUCAUUCUCCUGGGGACUCCUGGAACCUGGCACUGAGAGGUCAUCGUCACCAGCUUCCGGUCACACCCUUGGCUUCAUUUUCUCAGGCGACUUCUGUCUCUUUCACUCGCCUUCUGACCACGUGGCCUCCCAGCUCUUCUGCCUCAGCUCCUGAUAGCUCAUGCCCCACAACUGGCUCUUCCCUGUGGUUCCUGUUUUUAUUUUACAUUCGGUGGUGACUGCUGGCCCCAUUAUUACCACAUACAAAGUCUUUCUGCAUGAAGUAUACAGGCUAAAUCACUAGACUUAGGAAAAUAGAAAAUUUUAAUUUUAAUCACGGGCACUGUGGAUGUUGAAGUCUGCUUCCUGCUGAACUUUGCAUGAUGUUCGUUCUAUUGGAAGCAGCGUGCCAGAUUAGAGCUGAACAGAAAACGCUGAGGGUGAGUGGAGGUGUAAUCUGGGCCAUGUGGAGCCUGCAGCCUCCUGUCCUCAGUCUCCAGAGGAGCAUGUGUGCACCUCCACGCAAGUCCGUAGCUUGCCAGAGCCCGAAAGCAAGGCCUGGGGAGGUCAGUUCGGAUCCUGCUGGCUGUCCAGGGUCUCAGCCACCCAGCUGGCCAUGCACCCCCUCCACCCCACCCAGGCGCCCUGGUGACUCUCCCUGAUUGGGUCCUGCUGAGGAGCCCUCUCUGGGUGCCAUUGUCUGGAUCCUGUGUCCUCCAAGGAAUCUAGUGUUGAAGGCUUGGUCCCCAGCCUGGUGUCUGGAGGUGGGGGACAUUUAGGGGGCCAGUUGGCAGGUCUUUAGGUCCCUGGGGGAUCGGGGCCCCGCCCCUGCUCUGCUGUUUUGUGUGAGGCCAGCAGUUUUGCUCUGCCCUGAGCUUCUGGGUGAAGGGUCACCUGGCCACAGGGACAGAGCCGUGGGGCCCACUGGUCAUGACCGCAACUUCCAGAGCUGAGCCAACAUGAGUGAUUGUCUCCGGUGCCUGCGUGGCCACGUGAAGCUGACCGACGCCGCAGGUUGUCUGUGUCUGCCGGAGGCCUGCGGGAAGGAACUGGACCCUGUUGCUGUCCCUAACAGCGGCCUGCGUGAUUUCUACAUGGAUGAACAAGACUGGGGACUCAUUUACAGACAGGGUCCAAACUCCAUUUUCUGAGACAAAUCUAGUGGCGGUCCUGAGCCUUCGAGACUCCGUGUGCAUGGUGGAGGAGUUGGUCAGUCUCCUGGGGACGCCUGAGACAAGCUUUCUGCUCUGGACACGAGGCUGGAGGUGAGCUCCACCUGGCUUGUUUCUGAGUCCCAUGGAAGCUCAGCCGCCGGCUCAGCCUGACGCUCGUCUCUGCCGGCAGGACAAUGAGGCUGCCUUCCCCACACACGGCCGCACUGGAGCCCACCUGGGCCCCUGAGCGCAGAACUGGGGUUUCACUUGGAACCUCGCUUUUGCACCUGGGCACUUGCUGGGAUCUGGUGGUGUGAUGGCGGCAUUCUCAGCUGGCAGUGUCACCCUAUGCCACCUAUUCCAUGGGCCAACUGAAGAGGUGAAGGCGGUACCCCUAUUACAACCAAGGAGCUGCCAGCUCCGGAGCCAUCCACUAGCCAUGGAACCCUCUGACAGCUGACCGCUCAGCUCAGCUGGCCAGAAGCCAGGUCCAUUCCUGUCAAAACGUCCACGUGGCCUGGGAGAGACCGGGGCACCUGACUUGUGGUACUGCUGACAAAUUUCUGCUGUGAGCCUGAAAAUGAGGGGAAUCAAAAUGGGCCUUUCCCCUCUAGCCGGCCCCCCGCCGACUCUUGACCCAGUACCAGCAAACCAUCCCAGGACUUCAGAACAGGCCCUUCCCGGACGUGAUCACUUAGGGUGAGGGCACUGACCCAGGGUGGCCUUUUGUCCAAUGCGACAGCAUCC